GACGUAGGGGACGAGCGUUGUCCGGAUUCAUUGGGCGUAAAGCGCGCGUAGGCGGUUCGGUAAGUCGGGUGUGAAAACUCGGGGCUUAACCCCGAGCCUGCUUCCGAUACGGGCUGACUAGAGGUAUGCAGGGGAGAACGGAAUUCCUGGUGUAGCGGUGAAAUGCGCAGAUAUCAGGAGGAACACCGGUGGCGAAGGCGGUUCUCUGGGCAUCACCUGACGCUGAGGAGCGAAAGUGUGGGGAGCGAACAGG
rnacentral:rRNA from 1 species